GCAGACUCCAUGCUCUUGGCAUUGCAGCUUUCUAUGGCGGAGAACAACAAACAGAGGGUGUAAAUCCAUCUGUUGGAAGAUCAACAAUUGGAACGAGUUUUGGAAAUGUUCAUCUGGACAGAAGUAAAAAUGAAAAAGUAUCAAGAAAAUCAACCAGUCAGACAGGAAAUAAAAGCUCAAAAAGGAAACAGGUGGAUUUGGAUGGUGAAAAUAUUCUCUGUGAUAAUAGAAAUGAACCACCUCAACAUAAAAAUGCUAAAAUACCUAAGAAAUCAAAUGAUUCACAGAAUAGAUUGUACGGCAAACUAGCUAAAGUAGCAAAAAGUAAUAAAUGUACUGCCAAGGACAAGUUGAUUUCUGGCCAGGCAAAGUUAACUCAGUUUUUUAGACUAUAAAUUUGUGUCUUAUAUGCUUUAGGUUUAUGUAUCUAUAAACCAUUCACCAAAGACAUGCUUAAUUUUUAAGAGAUCAAGGUGUAAAUUAUGAUGAUUUAUUAUUUUGGUCUACAGUGUAUGUAAGGUUAGUAUGUUAAGCAUUGUUUAAAAAUACUAGUAAGUCAUAAUUAUGCAGAAUUUUCACAAAGUUUAAUGCACAGAGAAAGCAUAUCAUUUCAGUUACUGAUACAUCUUAACACUACUUUCUUUUAAAACAGACAUUUAACAUACACAAGUUAUAGUAGCAGUAUGGGCUUCUCCUCCCAUUGGCAAUUAAAUGCUUUUAUUUUCUUCUGAAAAGAUGAUGUGGACCAACAGGUAUCAGACUUGCCAACAAGGUCGGUAGACUCUUCCCAGCAUACAUCUGAGCACUGAAGGAAGAAGAAAGUUUAAAUUGUUUAAAGGACUAUAAUUAUCACACAAAAUUUAUUAAGAAAAAAAGAAUGGAUCUAGUAUAACUAAUUCUGAGUAAACCAAAAUGAUAAUAAUUAAUUGUUGCUAUUUAAUCCCACAUUUUUGGCAGGUGUAAUUGAGCCAUGGUCUUAUUUGAUUUUGUUAUGAUUGCAUCCAAAUUCACUUUAACUCAGAGUUCUGUUUAAUGGUGGUAGGAUGUAAGAAUUGAAUUUUGAAAAGACUACUCACUGUCAAAAUCUCUCCUUCCUAUAGGAAAUUUAGCUGAGUUUUCUUCAUCCCCAAUUUCUCUCUUUUCUUGUGUUGAUUCAGUAUUCUGAACUCCAUUCUCAGCUGGGAAAGCUACAGAUCCUUUUAGUGCAAGAUAAGGUUUUAUAGCCAGAUUCAGUGGCAGACCAUGAUUUAAGAAAUUAUGUUUGGAGCCUGUGUUCUGUAAAGAGAAGGUUGAUUUGGUUUUUAGCUAUCGUAUUCGGAGUGGAACUAUAAUACAAUUGUAUAAUAUUCUUGUUGAUCAAUUCAAAGUUACUCUGCACUGUUUUUGACUUUUUAAAAAUACCUUAGAUGCAAAUUUAUAGGAGAAAAAACACUUUCAGAUAAGAGGUGUUUGCUGGGAUGGAAGA
rnacentral:lncRNA from 1 species